ACGUAGAGUGUAAAGGCAAAAGAGAGCUUGAUUGCAAGACAUACAGGUCGAGCAAGGAUGAAAAUCGGACUUAGUGAUCCGGUGGUUCUGCGUGGAAGGGCCAUCGCUCAACGGAUAAAAGCUACCCUGGGGAUAACAGGCUUAUCUCCCCCAAGAGUCCACAUCGACGGGGAGGUUUGGCACCUCGAUGUCGGCUCAUCACAUCCUGGGGCUGUAGUAGGUCCCAAGGGUUGGGCUGUUCGCCCAUUAAAGUGGUACGCGAGCUGGGUUCAGAACGUCGUGAGACAGUUCGGUCCCUAUCCGUCGCAGGCGUAGGAAAUUUGAGAAGACCUGUCCUUAGUACG
rnacentral:rRNA from 1 species